rnacentral:rRNA from 1 species
AAAAGCUCGUAGUUGGAUCUCAGUACCCGGGCGGGUGGUCCGACGCAAGUCGGCUACUGCCCGUCCGGUACGUCCGGCCGGUUUCCCCGGAUGAUCUUCACCGGUUGUCCUGGGUGACCGGCAAGUUUACUUUGAAAAAAUUAGAGUGCUCAAAGCAGGCGCGACGCCUGAAUAAUGUUGCAUGGAAUAAUGGAAUAGGACCUCGGUUCUAUUUUGUUGGUUUUCGGAACACGAGGUAAUGAUUAAGAGGGACAGACGGGGGCAUUCGUAUUGCGACGCUAGAGGUGAAAUUCUUGGACCGCCGCACGACGAACUACUGCGAAAGCAUUUGCCAAGAAUGUUUCCAUUAAUCAAGAACGAAAGUCAGAGGUUCGAAGGCGAUCAGAUACCGCCCUAGUUCUGACCAUAAACGAUGCCAGCCAGCGAUCCGGCUGCGUUCCUCAAAUGACGCGCCGGGCAGCUUCCGGGAAACCAAAGCUUUUGGGUUCCGGGGGGAGUAUGGUUGCAAAGCUGAAACUUAAAGGAAUUGACGGAAGCGCACACAAGAAAUGGGGCCUGCGGCUUAAUUUGACUCAACACGGUGCAACUCACCCGGCCCGGACACAGGAAGGAUUGACAGAUUAAGAGCUCUUUCUUGAUUCUGUGACAGGUGGUGCAUGGCCGUUUCUAGUUGGUGGAGUGAUUUGUCUGCUUUAUUGCGAUAACGAGCGAGACUCUAGCCUACUAAAUAGACCGUCUAUCAUUUACCGUAGACGGGUCUUCUUAGAGGGACAAGCGGUGUUCAGCCGCACGAAACUGAGCAAAAACAGGUCAGGAUGCCCUUAGAUGUUCGGGGCCGCACGCGCGCCACAUUGAAGGAAUCAGCGUGUGCUUUCCCUCUCCGAUAGGAGUGGGUAACCCGUUGAAACUCCUUCGUGCUAGGGAUAGGAAAUUGUAAUUGUUUUCCUUGAACGAGGAAUUCCCAGUAAGCAUUGAGUCAUCAGCUCGUGUUGAUUACGUCCCUGCGCUUUGUGCACACCGCCCGUCGCUAUUAUCGAUGAAUUUUGGAGUGAGAUCAUCGGACCGACUAGGAUUCUGUAGGUAACUAUGGAGUCUGUGUUGGAAAGAUGACCGAACUUGAAUAUUUAGAGAAAAUAAAAGUCGUAACAAGGCUUCC